AGUGAACGCUGGCGGUAGGCCUAACACAUGCAAGUCGAACGGCAGCACAGUAAGAGCUUGCUCUUACGGGUGGCGAGUGGCGGACGGGUGAGGAAUACAUCGGAAUCUACUUUUUCGUGGGGGAUAACGUAGGGAAACUUACGCUAAUACCGCAUACGACCUACGGGUGAAAGCAGGGGCUCUUCGGAACUUGCGCGAUUGAAUGAGCCGAUGUCGGAUUAGCUAGUUGGCGGGGUAAAGGCCCACCAAGGCGACGAUCCGUAGCUGGUCUGAGAGGAUGAUCAGCCACACUGGAACUGAGACACGGUCCAGACUCCUACGGGAGGCAGCAGUGGGGAAUAUUGGACAAUGGGCGCAAGCCUGAUCCAGCCAUACCGCGUGGGUGAAGAAGGCCUUCGGGUUGUAAAGCCCUUUUGUUGGGAAAGAAAAGCAGCAGGUUAAUACCCCGCUGUUCUGACGGUACCCAAAGAAUAAGCACCGGCUAACUUCGUG
rnacentral:rRNA from 1 species